rnacentral:rRNA from 1 species
GACGAACGCUGGCGGCGUGCUUAACACAUGCAAGUCGAGCGAUGAAGUUACUUCGGUAAUGAAUUAGCGGCGAACGGGUGAGGAACACGUGAGGAAUCUGCCAUUCACUCUGGGAUAACACCGGGAAACCGGUGCUAAUACCGGAUAUAUAAAUUUUGCGGCAUCGCAGAAUUUAGAAAGUUUUUCGGUGAAUGAUGACCUCGCGGCCUAUCAGCUUGUUGGUGAGGUAAUGGCUCACCAAGGCGACGACGGGUAGCCGGCCUGAGAGGGCGACCGGCCACACUGGGACUGAGACACGGCCCAGACUCCUACGGGAGGCAGCAGUGGGGAAUAUUGGGCAAUGGAGGAAACUCUGACCCAGCGACGCCGCGUGAGGGAUGAAGGCCUUCGGGUUGUAAACCUCUUUCAGUAGGGAAGAAGCGAAAGUGACGGUACCUGAAGAAGAAGCACCGGCUAACUAUGUGCCAGCCGCCGCAGUAA